rfam:Medicago truncatula strain A17 chromosome 2, whole genome shotgun sequence.
AUGGUGAUCCGAGACACAUACUUUUCAUUUUCGAACAAGUGAAUGUACAAUCACGCUGGAAGAUGUAUAUAUGUUACUUGGCUUACCUUUUGGAGGACAAAUUGUUACGGCUCCUCCAC